rfam:Ictidomys tridecemlineatus contig092279, whole genome shotgun sequence.
GGGGUUUUGGCUCAGUGGUAGAGCACUCGCCUGGCAAGUGUGGGGCCCUGGGUUUGAUCCUCAGCACCA